rnacentral:rRNA from 1 species
ACACGUGAAACCCUGUGGGAAGCAGGAGGGACCACCCUCCAAGGCUAAAUACUACCUAGUGACCGAUAGCGUAUAGUACCGUGAGGGAAAGGUGAAAAGAACCCCGGGAGGGGAGUGAAAUAGAACCUGAAACCCUGCACUUACAAGCUGUGGAAGCACAUUUCUUGUGUGACCGCGUACUUUUUGUAGAACGGGCCAACGAGUUACGUUAAGUAGCAAGGUUAAGCACUUAAGGUGCGGAGCCGUAGCGAAAGCGAGUUUUAACUGAGCGUUCAGUUACUUGACGUAGACCCGAAACCGGGCGACCUACCCAUGAGCAGGAUGAAGCGAAAGUAAAAUUUCGUGGAGGUCCGAACCCACGAGCGUUGAAAAGCUCGGGGAUGACUUGUGGGUAGCGGUGAAAUUCCAAUCGAGCCCGGAGAUAGCUGGUUCUCCCCGAAAUAGCUUUAGGGCUAGCCUCAAGGUGAGAGAUACGGAGGUAGAGCACUGAAUGUCCUAGGGGGUAUUGCACCUACCGAAGACUAUCAAACUCCGAAUGCCGUCAUCUUAUACUUGGGAGUCAGACUGUGGGUGAUAAGAUUCAUAGUCGAAAGGGCAACAGCCCAGAUCGUCAGCUAAGGUCCCUAAAUGUAAGUUAAGUGGUAAAGGAUGUGGGAUUGCACAGACAACCAGGAUGUUGGCUUAGAAGCAGCCACUCAUUCAAAGAGUGCGUAAUAGCUCACUGGUCGAGUGAUCCUGCGCCGAAGAUUUCCGGGGCUAAAACUUACUACCGAAGCUACGGCAUCAGUAAUGAUGGGUAGGGGAGCUUCCCAUACGGGUUGAAGCAUGACCGUAAGGACAUGUGGACAGUAUGGGAGUGAGAAUGUUGGCAUGAGUAGCGAGAUGUGGGUGAGAAUCCCACAGGCCGUAAACCCAAGGUUUCCAGGGGAAGGUUCGUCCGCCCUGGGUUAGUCGGGACCUAAGCUGAGGCCGAAAGGCGUAGGUGAUGGACAACAGGUUGAUAUUCCUGUAC